rnacentral:rRNA from 1 species
UACGAAGGGGGCUAGCGUUGCUCGGAAUCACUGGGCGUAAAGGGUGCGUAGGCGGGUCUUUAAGUCAGGGGUGAAAUCCUGGAGCUCAACUCCAGAACUGCCUUUGAUACUGGCGAUCUUGAGUCCGGGAGAGGUGAGUGGAACUGCGAGUGUAGAGGUGAAAUUCGUAGAUAUUCGCAAGAACACCAGUGGCGAAGGCGGCUCACUGGCCCGGUACUGACGCUGAAACACGAAAGCGUGGGUAGCAAACAGG